rnacentral:rRNA from 1 species
UAGGGAAUUUUCCGCAAUGGACGCAAGUCUGACGGAGCAACGCCGCGUGAGUGAAGAAGGAUUUCGGUUCGUAAAACUCUGUUGUUAGAGAAGAACAGCGCAUAGAGUAACUGUUAUGCGUGUGACGGUAUCUAACCAGAAAGCCACGGCUAACUACGUGCCAGCAGCCGCGGUAAUACGUAGGUUGCAAGCGUUGUCCGGAUUUAUUGGGCGUAAAGCGAGCGCAGGCGGUCAAUUAAGUCUGGUGUGAAAGCCCCCGGCUCAACCGGGGAGGGUCAUUGGAAACUGGUUGACUGGAGUGCAGAAGAGGAGAGUGGAAUUCCAUGUGUAGCGGUGAAAUGCGUAGAUAUAUGGAGGAAAACCAGUGGCGAAGGCGACUCUCUGGUCUGUAACUGACGAUGAGGCUCGAAAGCGUGGGUAGCAAACAGG